AUGGCCCUAUGGUAAUUCACUG
rnacentral:miRNA from 1 species